UACGUAGGUCCCGAGCGUUGUCCGGAUUUAUUGGGCGUAAAGCGAGCGCAGGUGGUUUAAUAAGUCUGAUGUAAAAGGCAGUGGCUCAACCAUUGUGUGCAUUGGAAACUGUUAGACUUGAGUGCAGUAGAGGAGAGUGGAAUUCCAUGUGUAGCGGUGAAAUGCGUAGAUAUAUGGAGGAACACCGGUGGCGAAAGCGGCUCUCUGGACUGUCACUGACACUGAGGCUCGAAAGCGUGGGUAGCAAACAGGAUUAGAUACCCUGGUAGUCCACGCCGUAAACGAUGAGUGCUAGUUGUUUGGGGCUAUCCAGCCCUAAGUGACGCAGCAAACGCAUUAAGCACUCCGCCUGGGGAGUACGACCGCAAGGUUGAAACUCAAAGGAAUUGACGG
rnacentral:rRNA from 1 species